rnacentral:rRNA from 1 species
UACGGAGGGUGCGAGCGUUGUCCGGAAUCACUGGGCGUAAAGGGCGCGUAGGUGGCGCGACAAGUCAACGGUGAAAGCUCGGCGCUCAACGCCGAGUCGGCCGUCGAUACUGUUGGGCUGGAGCACUGUAGAGGCUCAUGGAAUUCCGGGUGUAGCGGUGGAAUGCGUAGAGAUCCGGAAGAACACCGGUGGCGAAGGCGGUGAGCUGGGCAGUUGCUGACACUGAGGCGCGACAGCGUGGGGAGCAAACAGG